rnacentral:ncRNA from 1 species
UAAAUCAAAAGCCAAACCCCGGAUGACCGGGGGACGGAAAGCCACGGGACUUAUGCUUCAGCAGGCUUCGCGCUGCUAAAGUUGGCCGGGUUGCCGGG